UAAUGCAUGUAUGAUUCCUCUUUGGGCU
rnacentral:sRNA from 1 species